rnacentral:rRNA from 1 species
AACACCCGUUCCCAUUCCGAACACGACGGUUAAGCCUUUAACGGUCGAUGGUACUGCACGGGAGACUGUGUGGGAGAGUAGAUGGUCGCUAGGU